rnacentral:rRNA from 1 species
UACGAAGGGGGCUAGCGUUGCUCGGAAUUACUGGGCGUAAAGCGCACGUAGGCGGCUCUUUAAGUCGGGGGUGAAAUCCUGGAGCUCAACUCCAGAACUGCCUUCGAUACUGAAGAGCUCGAGUCCGGGAGAGGUGAGUGGAACUGCGAGUGUAGAGGUGAAAUUCGUAGAUAUUCGCAAGAACACCAGUGGCGAAGGCGGCUCACUGGCCCGGAACUGACGCUGAGGUGCGAAAGCGUGGGGAGCAAACAGG